UUAAAUUGAAGAGUUUGAUCAUGGCUCAGAUUGAACGCUGGCGGCAGGCCUAACACAUGCAAGUCGAACGGUAACAGGAAGCAGCUUGCUGCUUU
rnacentral:rRNA from 16 species